rnacentral:rRNA from 1 species
UACGGAAGGCAGCAGUGGGGAAUAUUGCACAAUGGGCGCAAGCCUGAUGCAGCCAUGCCGCGUGUAUGAAGAAGGCCUUCGGGUUGUAAAGUACUUUCAGUCGUGAGGAAGGUGUUAAGGUUAAUAACCUUAGCAAUUGACGUUAGCGACAGAAGAAGCACCGGCUAACUCCGUGCCAGCAGCCGCGGUAAUACGGAGGGUGCGAGCGUUAAUCGGAAUUACUGGGCGUAAAGGGCACGCAGGCGGUUAAUUAAGUUGGAUGUGAAAUCCCCGGGCUUAACCUGGGAAUGGCAUUCAAGACUGGUUAGCUAGAGUCUUGUAGAGGGGGUAGAAUUCCAUGUGUAGCGGUGAAAUGCGUAGAGAUGUGGAGGAAUACCGGUGGCGAAGGCGGCCCCUGGGACAAAGGACUGACGCUCGAUGUGCGAAAGCGUGGGGAGCAAACAGGAUUAGAUACC